UUAUUGCCAGUUCUGUUGUUCCACUUUGC
rnacentral:piRNA from 1 species